rnacentral:misc_RNA from 1 species
GAUGAAGAACGUAGCGAAAUGCGAUAACUAAUGUGAAUUGCAGAAUUCCGUGAAUCAUCGAGUCUUUGAACGCACAUUGCGCCCAUUAGUAUUCUAGUGGGCAUGCCUGUUCGAGCGUCAUUAAUUCCACUUAAGCCCUGCUUAGUGUUGGGAAUCUACUCUAGUGGUGCUACCCUGGAGCUACCCCUGAAAGGGGGCUGGCCCGGUAGCUACCCUGUAGUUCCUCAAAGAUAGUGCGCGGAGUUGCGUGGUCCUCUGAGCUUAGUAACUAUACACCUAGCUUUUGAGUGUCCCGCGGCGCCUGCCGUUUAAACCCCAUCUUUUAAUGGUUGACCUCGGAUCAGGUAGGAAUACCCGCUGAACUUAAGCAUAUCAAUAAGCGGAGGA